GACGAACGCUGGCGGCGUGCUUAACACAUGCAGGUCGAACGGAAAGGCCCUGCUUUUGUGGGGUGCUCGAGUGGCGAACGGGUGAGUAACACGUGAGUAACCUGCCCUUGACUUUGGGAUAACUUCAGGAAACUGGGGCUAAUACCGGAUAGGAGCUCCUGCUGCAUGGUGGGGGUUGGAAAGUUUCGGCGGUUGGGGAUGGACUCGCGGCUUAUCAGCUUGUUGGUGGGGUAGUGGCUUACCAAGGCUUUGACGGGUAGCCGGCCUGAGAGGGUGACCGGCCACAUUGGGCCUGCGAGACGGCCCAGACUCCUACGGGAGGCAGCAGUGGGGAAUAUUGCACAAUGGGCGGAAGCCUGAUGCAGCAACGUCGCGUGCGUGAUGACGGCUUUCGGGUUGUAAACCGCUUUCGCCUGUGACGAAGCGUGAGUGACGGUAAUGGGUAAAGAAGCACCGGCUAACUACGUG
rnacentral:rRNA from 1 species